rfam:Niabella soli DSM 19437, complete genome.
GGGGGCGCUUGGUUUUGACAGCAUAGAUCUUUGAAAGCAGAAGCAUGUCAGGCGUUGUGUAAUUAGCCUGUAAAUCUGAAUACUCAAAUCAUAAAUGGCAAUACUCAGUAUGCCAUGGCUGCCUAAUCAGUGAUUAAGUAGUCAUUAGGGCCGCGUUGAGCCGGUUGUUCUGUUACCACGCUCCGCCGCCGACUUAUAAAACAAAAACAGGAUGCUGUUGCAUUAGGCUGUGCCUGUAACAAAAGACCCAUACAGCUAAGUGAAAAAUCGGUUUGUUCUUUCCCUGUUUUUCGCCGACAAUCAAUACAAGAAAUAAGCAUGUAGAAGGCUUUUGGGGAAUGUGUUUGGACACCGGUUCGAGUCCGGUCGCCUCCACAA